UACCAGCACCCCGAGUGGUCGGGACGAUUAUUGGGCCUAAAGCAUCCGUAGCCGGUCAUGCAAGUCCUCCGUUAAAUCCACCUGCUUAACAGAUGGGCUGCGGAGGAUACUACAAGGCUAGGAGGCGGAAGAGGCAAGCGGUACUCAGUGGGUAGGGGUAAAAUCCUCUGAUCCAUUGAAGACCACCAGUGGCGAAGGCGGCUUGCCAAUACGCGCUCGACGGUGAGGGAUGAAAGCUGGGGGAGCAAACAGG
rnacentral:rRNA from 1 species